AGCUAAGCUUAACAGGACACUGUGUUACAACUGCGUCGACGUAGCACAUCCAGGAGACUGUGAUGUCAUCAGUGUAUGUGAUAUCGAUAAGAAAUGUUUUGCAAGACACUUCAUAACUGAUAUGUUUGAAGAAAGAUGGAGGCUUGGGUGCGAAGAAAAACAGAAAUGUACAGAUAUCGCUAAGUAUUCCAUGUAUGCAGGUCACCCUAAAACCAAGAAACAAGUAAUAGGUGGAUCUGAUGGGUUUGACUUGUGUUACUAUUGUUGUGACGAUAACUUCUGUAAUAAAAAAGAUUGUGAAAAAGG